UCCUACGGGGGCAGCAGUGGGGGAUAUUGCACAAUGGGGGAAACCCUGAUGCAGCGACGCCGCGUGGGCGAAGAAGUAUUUCGGUAUGUAAAGCCCUAUCAGCAGGGAAGAAGAAAUGACGGUACCUGAGUAAGAAGCACCGGCUAAAUACGUGCCAGCAGCCGCGGUAAUACGUAUGGUGCAAGCGUUAUCCGGAUUUACUGGGUGUAAAGGGAGCGUAGACGGAGGAGCAAGUCUGAUGUGAAAAUCCGGGGCCCAACCCCGGAACUGCAUUGGAAACUGUUUAUCUAGAGUGUCGGAGAGGC
rnacentral:rRNA from 1 species